rnacentral:rRNA from 1 species
UACAGGGGGGGCGAGCGUUGUCCGGAAUUAUUGGGCGUAAAGCGCGCGCAGGCGGUCCUUUAAGUCUGAUGUGAAAGCCCACGGCUCAACCGUGGAGGGUCAUUGGAAACUGGAGGAUCUGAGUCAGAAGAGGAAAGCGGAAUUCCACGUGUAGCGGUGAAAUGCGUAGAGAUGUGGAGGAACACCAGUGGCGAAGGCGGCUUUCUGGUCUGUAACUGACGCUGAGGCGCGAAAGCGUGGGGAGCAAACAGG